AGUGAACGCUGGCGGCAGGCCUAACACAUGCAAGUCGAACGGCCGCACAGUAAGCUUUUGCCUUUACGGGUGGCGAGUGGCGGAUGGGUGACGCAUACAUCACCAUCUUAUUUUUCUUGGGUAAUAUCGUGGAGCCGCUUCUACUACUAGCGCAUAUGUUCUACCGCUGGAUUCAAUAGUUCAUGACGCCUUUGCUGUCUCAUUUAGCUGGAUCCGCGUCGGAUUAGCUAGUUGGUAAGGUAACGGCCUACCAAGGCGACGAUGCGUAGCCGAGCUGAGAGGGUGAUCGGCCACACUGGAACUGAGACACGGUCCAGACUCCUACGGGAGGCAGCAGUAGGGAAUAUUCGACAAUGGGCGAAAGCCUGAUGGAGCCAUGCCGCGUGAGUGAAGAAGGCCUUCGGAUCGUAAAGCCCUGUUGUUAGGGAAGAAAAGCAGUAGAAGAAUACACGGCCGUCUUGACGGUACCCAAUCAGAAAGCACCGGCUAACUACGUG
rnacentral:rRNA from 1 species